GACGGACUGGGCUCUUUUGGUUUCCUUCCAGAAGUGGAAGGUCUGAGUGAAUCCUCGCAUGGUCCACAGUGGAUUGUAGGCCCCGUCGUCCAGUUCUGAAGAUCAAGAUGUGAUAAUGAGAGUAGAGUCAUAAAGUUUUGGCAGAUCUUCUAUUGUCAAUCUUUCAUUUUGUUUGAAUAAGUAAGAUCUGAGGAUGUUGUAAUGUUGUACGAAAUACAUGUGUGUACUGCUUUGAAAACGCAUAAUGCUGCAUGUUUCAUAUCCAGAGUCGUGAAAUUGAUGUGUAUGUUUUUGGAAUGAUCUUUCGUAAUCGUGAGCAAUAAAGAGUACACAGCAAUUGAAACAACUAUAUAUAAGACAUUAACAAACCGAAAACAAUGGAGCAGUGUGAGAACAUGUGUGACUCAUGCCGCGUGUUCAUGUACACAAAUAUAAGCACACUCCACUGUAAGAAGAAGGAUAUCUUGCAAAUAAGCUGUUAUACUAUAUCUAUGCACCCUUGAAGAAUAUUUAGGUGCUCGAAAAUCCUAAGCUAAAUUUUAGAAUUUUUUCUAUUUUAGGCAAUAGGUAAUAAAGUCUAUGUAGUUAAACAACUGUUAGUUUAAUAAUAAAUAAUUUUCAACUUAUA